rnacentral:lncRNA from 1 species
CUGUGCAAAGAACAGAGGCAAGCCUCCAGCCAGGAGCUCAUGAAAUCAUGAACUGAGGCCUCAGUGCAAUAGCUCAUGAGGAAAUGAAUUAUUUCAACAGCCAGGUUUGUACUAUUCGAAAAGGGCAAGCAUUGGCAUUACUCAUGAACAUUAUGUGAUACAGUGAAAUGAUCACUAGGCUUAAUUUUGAACUGGGGAUAAUGCUAUCUGUGAUAAUCAACUCUCAGGGUUGCUCUGAAGACUAAAGCCCUGGGAUCAUUCAUUUUAAAAGAAAAGAACGGUGACUCAUCAUUUCAAGCUUUUCAUUCUGGAAGUUGGAAGUACAAGAUCAGAUUGCCAGCAUCAUCAGGUACUCAUGAGGGCCGUCUUCCAGCUUGCAGACUGCCAACUUCUCAUUGUGUCCUCAGGUGAGAAAAAUUUGGCUCGUGGUGAUAGUCUUGGAUAUCACCUUCAUCCCCUCGGAUGUUUGUAGAUAAUCCUCCAUUAUAUUUGGAAUGAAUACUGUAGAUAUAUGAGGUUGGACUAUCCUACGUUUUGCUUGUUUAUGGGUUUUGCAUCUUGAUGUCUUCCUGAAGUAUUCUUCAUGGGGAAUUUCCAAAUCAACCACAAUUUGAUAUCAAAGUAAUGUCAAGUGCUUCUGACCCACUGCAUUAAACGUGUGCUGAGCAGUUGGUGGUAGAAGACAUUAUUGUGAAGGCUGCUCACCACCAAUUUCAUCACUGUUGCUAACUCCAGCUCAUCUAAUCUCUGCAACAUCUGCUACCAGCACCUUCUCUUGCCUCCUUUUGUGAACAUAGUUUUUUCUUCUGGUUAGAAAAUCAGUUCGAACUUCUUGAGUUUUGUGUUUUAAACUCUUCUCAACUGUUCCGAUGAUUGAUGGAUGGCCCAGAGGCGACCUCUUUAUCUCCAGCAACAUAUUUGGCUGUUGGCCCGGUAGAGAGGUACUCCAGAAGCUUGCUGGUUCAUCAUGCUCUCAUCUUUAACCACAACUAUUUAUCUGACUCCUUCCAUCUCCACAGCACUGUGUGAGGGAUCAGUGAUAAGAGACGGUGAAAGACAUGCGCAAAUGGAUAAAUAAUAAGCAGGAUAUGUAGAAUGACACAACAAUUGAUGAGUAAUUUAGGAGAUCCAAUAACUAAAAAAAAAAAGACUGGGGACAAGUUCAUGGAAAGAGUAAUCAACUAAGCCUUAUAACAUAAAAUUGACAAAUAGAGAAGGCAUGCAAUCCAGUAGAAUAGAGUGCAAAAGAGGUAGAAGACUAAUCGUUUCAAGACAUGUUGAGCCACAACAGCAAUAACAUUGUGACAAAAAACGUCGGUGUAGACUGCAGAAGAUCUUCAAUGACGGAUCAAGCUGUAUAGACUUUUUUUUACCCUCAUAUACUGAAUAGUCAUUUAAGGUAUACAGUGCCAACGUAAGAGAGAAAGGUAAACUUUUUUUAACACAAGUUGUAGGCCUUGGAAAGAAGUUUUCCAGUAACAAGAUAACACGAUAAUGUACUGUGGUUAUAAGCUCAAAGUGGUAUAUUUGAUUCAGUGUUCCCAGAACCACCAAAACCUUGGAACCAUUGUUUAGCUAAAGCUACUAGAACAACAGAAUAACCUACUCUGUGGCAUUGUAAAGUAAAAUUAUACUACACACAAAUACUUGACAUAAAAUACAUUUCCAAACUCAAUUAUUAGGGAUAACAUAAGCACAAAAUGAUGCUUUGCAAACAUCAUGUAUCCUAUAACUGGAGAAAAAAAAUUAAUGACAUGAAGUGAAAUGACUGAGUUCUGAAGCUACAUCUCAAUUUAAAUAGCAUAAGCAAUUUAGUAUACAACAUUCUUCAAAAUCAAUUGUUGAAGGUUAACUAUAAUCUACAUACAAAAACAACUUUGUCAACUUUUUGUACGGAUUUUCCUUCUAAACAUAUUUACUUUAUGUGUAAAAUCAAAAAAUUUCCUGAGUUAAAGGCUAAGACUUGACUUUAUGAAUACAUGCCCAAAAAUUGGUGGUGGCUGGUUUCUGUUUUUAUUUUGUAAGCUUAGUAUAAUGGUUGUCCAGAACUUGUAAGCAAUGACCUCAUUUCUAAGCGGACAAGAUGCAAAAGACCAUUUUUACAGAUUAACCAUCUGGUUCCUUUAGGAAGAGUAAUAUUUCAACAGGUUCCUGUAUUUCAAGAAUAUAAAUAAUUAAAAAGAUGAAGAUAUGUGAAAUACACAAAGAAAAAAAUAGAGAAAAUAGCAUUUAAAGCAAAUUAUCCUAGCUCCCUCAAUUAAUAUUUUAAAACCAUGACAAUCAGUUAUUAAUAUAAAUUGUUAAUUUUAUUUAAUACAACAUCAAUAUAAUUCAUACCAUCUUCUUCAACUAGGUGGUCUAUCAUUUUGGAGUUUCUUUCCACCUCUGGAGAAUUGCUCAGGAAAUCUGGCUAACAUACCAAAUAAAUCAAAUGGAUUUAAUGAGAUGGUUUUUGGCUAGUUUCUAUAUUCUUGUAUACACAUGCAUGUAACACAUAAAUGUGGUGCUGUUCACAGUUAGAGGCGCA